ensembl:lincRNA
CUCGGGGCAUGCAAAAGACUGCUGCUCGCACGACCCAGAGUAGUGCCAUUUUCCAGUGUAACACCUUAGGAGCAGCAUUGCUUUCUGAGCGUCAUCCUACUUGGGACACCUGAGAGAUGCAAGCCACACCGGACACCACCCUGCCUUGCCCUCACUCUCCCAGCACCAUGUUAGACUCACAGGUGGAGGGAAAUGGAGAACAUCAAAGCAACCUGUACAUGAACAUGAUGGAUCUCACCUUAUGCAAAGAAACAAAUUUGCAAAGCACUACAUGUGAUGUCACCUCUUCACCUACAUCUCCACAUAGGACCAGUGGUCUUGAGGCCUUGACUGCUCCAAUCUCUGACAGCAGCCACAGCUUACCACGAACAGAAGAAGCAGAUCAGAAAUCUGGUUCCAAGGAUGCUUCACCGGCCCACUCUUGUGUCACAUUCCAGCCACCUCCGGGCUGGACCGAGAUUUCUCGUGCGGGUGUGGGCACGGUGUACAUGCAUCCAUCUGGCAAACAACAGUGGAAAAGGAUGGUGGAUGCAACUUCAGGAUGUGUAUAUUACCACCAGGAGAGCACGAAUGAGACACGCUGCGAACUCCCUCCCCUGAGUCCUGUCCAGCUGCCAAAUCACAAUAAGGAGAAGAGGCCAAGUUCCCAUAGAAUUGAACGAAUGGAUAACACAAAGUCCGUGUAUGUGCACUCCACGUCAACCAAGAACAAGGGUCACCGCCGCUCAUUGUCCAACACCAGCUUAGGCACUGUGGAAAAUCCUCCCUUGAACAUAAAGGAUAUCUCAAAGAAGUUGUGUACAGAUUCAGAUGAAAUUUGGUGGAGAGGAUCUUCGUAAGGAGGGAAUGCUGUGUUGUGCAAAGGUGGCCAAGGGGGGGGGGG